UGCUGAUGGCUCUCGGCUGGGUGAGGGUAGAGAAGGUUUCCAAGGCGCCCUCGGGCCUCGCGGGCUCAGGGCCCACGCAGUUCUCUCUGGUGGCACCGGGGGGCGAUGUGGAGCGUCCCACAGCGCACCUGCGCCCCGGAGGCUCAUGGGCGUUGUAGUUCCCAGGGCGGCGAGCUGUGCUGGCACUUAGCGUGGGAGGGCGAGGCCAGGUCUGGAGGCACGGUCCUGUCCUCCUUGAGGCAGAAGCGGUUGUCCCGGCGUGGAUGACUCCGGAGCGUCCUGGCCCCGAACCCCGUGGAGUGCGACCCACUGCGCGGGUUUGGCGACAGAUCUGGCGGCCGUGUGUCGCAGCUGGAGGUAGGACCAGGCCCUGCGGCCUGGCUGAGGAAGACCGUCCUGGGAAUCUUUCGGAGGAACAGUGCCUAAUGCUUAGGUGAAGAAGUAUUUGUUGAAAGAAGAAUUUGUUGAAUAAUUUCAGUUGAGCGUUCAGUUAAGCACUGUGUUGGGCUUAAGUUUCUCGAUGUCUUCGAUGGAAGGCAAAUUCUGUAUUCACGUUCAUUUAAAAAAUAAAGGUGAGUCACUGGAACUUCUGGGGCUUCUGCUUUAUUAUCUGUAAAGUGGGGAUGAGUGAAGAGGUUAAACCUGAUGAUCUCUAAGACCUUUUGUAGCUCUAACUUCUAAAAGGAGAUGGGGUCUGCUAUAAUUGAAAUAGGUUCUGGGGUGACCCACAAUUUAGUGGCAAAUUGGGGACUAGGACCCAGAGCCUUGUUGUUGGUAUCACUCAACAGACUUAUUGGAAGCUCAAGGGCAUCCUUCACUCUUCCCCACCAGCCAGCCUGGCAGUGUCUCCUCAGAAAUCUUUCUGGACGUUCUCCUUGGAACUAACCGCACUGCACUGCCUUGGCCAGGUCAGCCUCAGCCCUCUCCUGGACCACUGCCCCCGUCUCCUCUCUGCAUCCAGUCCUAGCCCUCCUAUACUGGCCCUGGAUGCCCUUCCAAACACAGAACGCUUAUCACACUCAUGUCACUCAGAUGUGACUGGAGACAUUCCAGUUGGAAACACUUUGUGAAUGUCACACAAAAACUCCUAAGUAAAAGGCACUUGAGUGGCAACCUAGGUGUGUUAGUCAUGCAUGGCUUCCCAGAGGAGGCUACACUUUGAAGCCUGAAACCAGAGGGAGGAAGAUUGGCAGAAUUAGGGGAAAUGGUGCGUGCAGUAGCAGAGGCAGAACCUGAGUAAAGGUGGAGUUCUUCAGCUGUCAGAAUGUCCUGAUUGAGCAAAGCAUGAUUUGCUUGGAGGGUAGGAGGUUCUGGUCAAAGCACCAAGGUUGAAUUUGACAUCCCAGAAAAUAGGACAAAAUAAGAGAAAUUUCCAUCUCUUGGGGUGGGGGAGGGUCAAGAUGACCUCCAGAAGAAGCCCACAAGCAACCACUUCCCCUUCAGUCAGAGACUCCAGUUUUCCUUUGAAGAGCCAACCUCUGCCAUGCUCAGUCCAUGGAGUUUGAUUGGAGCUGAGCCCAUCCCAACCUCAGGUGAUAGGUCCAUGAUCCAGUGUUUACCAGUCAGCAUAAUCUAUUUCUCAUAGUCACAAGUGUCUGUUCAGCGUUAGUAUUCUGUUUCAACCCUCACUGGUGUACUGAAGUGCAGUUCUGGCACUGACUGCCCAGAGUUAGCACAGGCCCUGCAAGUUAAGGGCUCACUCCUUCACAAGACCGCACCCACUUCAGAUGCCACCUGCAAGUGGGGUCCCCCAGCCAUCUCUACUUCUGGUCAACUGCCUACGGAUCUGGGAGUUUCCCAUGACCCCCGUCAGGUUUGAUAAUUUACUAGAACAACUCACAGAAUGCAGGAAGGCACUAUACUUACGAUUACAAUUAUGAUUACAUUUUAUAAUAAAGGAUACAAGUCAGGAACAGCUAAAUGAAGAGCUACGUAGGGAGAGGUCCAGGAGGGUCCACAGAGACAUAGAAUCUGGGCACAUCACCCCCACCCCCCCGACACGUCAGUGUAUUCACCCACCAGGAAGCCCCACUGAGCUUCAGUGUCCAAAGUUUUUAUUAGGGGUUUCAGUACUUGGGCAUGAUUGAUUAAGUCACUGUCAUGUGACUGAACUCAGUCUCCAAGUCCCCUCCCCUCCCUGGAGGUCAAACUGGCUCAAAACCCCAACCGUCUAAUCACAAAGUUGGUGUUUCUGGUGACCCCAUCCUGAAGCUAUGAGGGGCUUGCCAUUAGUCAGCUUGUCAGCAGAAACUCGGGUGUGACCUGAGGGGCUCACGAAUAACAGGCACAUCUGUCACUGAGGAAAUUCCAAGUA